rnacentral:misc_RNA from 1 species
UCUCCGUUGGUGAACCAGCGGAGGGAUCAUUACAGAGUUGAAAAACUCCAACCCCUGUGAACCUACCUUUACUGUUGCUUCGGCGGACGAUGGCCCCCCGGGCCGGAAGCCCGUCAGAAGACCAAAACUCUUCGUCAUCAGUGGCCUCUCUGAGUAACUUAUACAAUAAGUCAAAACUUUCAACAACGGAUCUCUUGGUUCUG